AAUUCUUAAGGAAUUAAAAAUAUUAUUUAAUGAGAGGAAAAAGGGGAAGGGAGGGAGAGGAGAGGGAGAGAGACAGACAGACAGGCAGGCAAUGUGUGGAGAUCAGACGGCAACCCAUUGCAUUCUCUGCAUCUAUGAUUUGUUCUGGAGAUCCACCUCACGUUGGUUGUUAGGCUGCCAUGUCAGAUGGUGCCGAGACAUCUCGCUGGUUCAAGACAAUCUGUAUUUUGCCACAGCAUUUUUUUGAGGUCCUUUCUGCAGGCAUUUGGGGCCGGGUGCUCCAAAGUACCUCUCGAUUAAUCACGAGUGAACAGUCGCUGAGGUCUCAGGGGUGAGCCUUACCUGCGUGCCUAGGCUUUAUCAUCUCAUCUGGAGACUGCCCCUCCCUCUGGAAACGGACCGAGGACACAGUCAGAGGAGGUGCAGGUGCUGAGUACUGUCCAAGUUUUGCAGCCCUGCUUCCCGCGUCAGCUGUCGCCAUAGAGACGGAAGCUUGAGCUUGCGACAGAGGCUGAAUGUGAAGAAGGAAGCCAGUCCGGAUGGAGAGAACCUCUCAGUCAGUGGUCAGGGACAGAGAUGAGACUGGAGGAGGACUCUGUGGAGCUGUUGGAUUUAAAGAGGGAAGAAGGAGCGCUGGAGCCAGAAAAUGUGAGUGGCUUCCAGAAGCUGGAAGAGUAGAAAUGGAUUCUCCUCAGAGUUCCAUAAAAAACAAACAAAAACAAAAACAAAACCGCAGCCUCGUGGAACCUGCUUUGAUUUUAGUUCAGUGAGACCCCGUGGGACUUCUUACCUCUAUAGCUGUUAUAUAAUGCACAUCCUCCCUCUCUCCUUCCUUCCCUUCCUCCCUCCUUGCCUCCUUCUCUCCCUCUUCCUUUCCUUCUCUCUUCACGCCCCCCUCUCCCCCCUCUUAUGCGCUCAUACAUGUACAUACUCCUGUAUGGGUGCUUAUGGAGAUCAGAGAUCCACUUCCGGUGUCCUCAGUCACCUUCAUGUUAUUUGUUCAUUUAUUUAUUUGGGACAAGGUCUCUCACUCAACCUGGAGCUCACCAGUUUGGCUAGAACAGCAGCACACGCCCCCCCAGCCCGGCCUCAUCCCACCCCCACCCCCUCAAUCCUCCUGUAUCUACUUCCCUAGUGCUGGGAUUGCAGACCUCAUGGCUUGGCAUUGGGCUUUUUAUGUGAGAGCCAGGUAUCUCAAUGCAGGGCCUUAUAUUUGCUCCUACGCCAUGCCGAGGUGGGCUUUCAGGGAAGCGUCCGUGCUUCUGUAAGCAACCUUUCACUCACACUGGUAGAAGGAACCUUAGUAACUGCAUUGGGUCACCAGACUAGACUUUGGUGGUGUUACCUUGGUCUGCUGCUGGUUCCCUAUCUGGGCUGAGUAAAUUGUGUCACAUGACAUUCCACACCUUGGCUCCUACUCCGGGAAGUAGUUGAAAAGUGUUAGCAUCAGUAAGACAUUUACUGCUUAGACGUUUGGUAGUGAGACACUCGGAUGUUGUUUUGGUGUCUCAAGGUACAACGGCAGGAUUUUUUUUCUUGCCCCACCCUGCCAUCGUUAACAGGGGAGGGGGGUGAGCAGGGGGAUCAUUGUUUCCUCCUCUGAUGUGGACUGGAGGGACCUUUGAUGUGGGCUCUCUGAUGAAAAGGAAAGUCAAUCCAGGGAAGCUGCAGGGGAAACAAAAACAGUAGCUGAACAAAAUCGCCCGUGUGUGUGUGUGUGUGUGUGUGUGUGUGUGUGUGUGUGUGUGGUGUUGGUGCUUGCAUUUGAGUGCAGAGGCCCACUGGGACCAGAUGCAUCAGACCCCCCUCCCCUGGAUCUGGAGUUAUAUAGAAGUUGCUGUGAGCUGGCUAGUGUGGGUGCUGGAACCCAUGCUCUCUGCAAAAGCACUCUUCACUGUUGACCCAUCCCUCUAGCCCCAUUUCUUGACAGAGUCUGGAGCACAGCAUCAAAGCUGGAAGAGCAGCAGAUGGUGGCCCGCAGGGGUCACCAGAGCAGUCAGAGAGUCACUUUGGACAGCGUUUCCUGAGUGUUCCCAUUUCUAGCCUUAUUUGCAUAACCACAUUCAGCCACUCAGUGUCCAGCUGACACCCUGUAAUUCAGAUGCUCUGGGGCUAUGGGAUGUGAUGAGAGCUGGGCCCAGGAGGAAGAGAAAGAAGACAGGGGACACAGACUCUCCCUGCACCCAAGCUCACUGGAGCCAGCCCCUGAGCCUCAAUGUCACAGCUGCAGACAGGAAAUGUUACGGCAUAUGCUUCUCACAUUCUAGAUCUGUCAGAGACAGGAGGCCUGCCAGCCCAAUGGUCCUGUGGGUGACCUGCUUUCUGCAGACUUGCUCUGCAAGGACCUCUCUCUGUUGACACCCCAAGCCCCUCUGAGAGCUUCCUACAGCUGUGACACUUCUCAGAGUAGGAAUGGUGGCUCUUGGCUAGCAUCCCACUGCUACCAAGGGUUCAAAUUGGACACAUUCUGAAAGACCCCAGCUUAGCAGCAGUAACGCCAUUUUGCAAGGCUGUACUUAAGAUGACUGGUUCAGGGAAAGGUUAGAACACUGAGUACACAGCGGCUGCCAAGCAGGAUGUGUUUGGUUGAAGGCCUGGCAACAGGACGACUUCGGUUGAGCACCUGACAAUGAAAAAAAAGCCCCGGGAGAGGUCCCACACCCUGGUGGGGGGCCGAGUCAGUCGUUAUGUUCCAAGAAGGUAGCUAAGAAACUUGCCCCCGGGCUGAACCCUUGGGGGGCCGAGUCAGUCCUUAUGUUUCAGGAAGGUAGCUAGGAAACUUGCCCCCGGGCUAAACCCUUGCCAUAUUAGAAUCCACCAAUUAUAUCCCUGUAACCAUGCAUCUGCUUCUGUAUGCUUGCUUCUGCUCCCCAAAAUCCUAUAAAAGCCCAUCCUUGGUUCCGUGGGGCGCGCCAGUCCCCCGAGUGACUGAAGCGCCCGCAGGUGCCUGUGCCUGUGUAUCCCAACAAUAAACCAAAUCCUCUUGCU